GUCUACAGCCAUACCGCCAUGAACGUGCCCGACCCCGUCUGAUCUCAGAAGCUCAGUGGGGGCGGGCCUGGUUAGUACUUGGGUAGGAGGAUGUCACACAGGCCAUGCUUCAUUGUCC
rnacentral:rRNA from 1 species